ACAGUACUCCCUCCGUCCGGAAUUACUUGUCAUCAAAAUAAAUAAAAGGGGAUGUAUCUAGACGUAUUUUAGUUAUAGAUACAUCCUUUUUUAUCCAUUUUGAUGACAAGUAUUUUCGGACGGAGGGAGUAUGAU
rnacentral:pre_miRNA from 1 species